rnacentral:rRNA from 1 species
GAUCAUGGCUCAGGAUGAACGCUGGCGGCGUGCUUAACACAUGCAAGUCGAACGAUGAAGCUGGAGCUUGCUCCGGUGGAUUAGUGGCGAACGGGUGAGUAACACGUGAGCAAUCUGCCCUUGACUCUGGGAUAACUGCGGGAAACUGUAGCUAAUACCGGAUACGACGCCUUGGGGCAUCCCACGGGCGUGGAAAGAAUUUCGGUCAAGGAUGAGCUCGCGGCCUAUCAGCUAGUUGGUGAGGUAAUGGCUCACCAAGGCGACGACGGGUAGCCGGCCUGAGAGGGUGACCGGCCACACUGGAACUGAGAUACGGUCCAGACUCCUACGGGAGGCAGCAGUGGGGAAUAUUGCACAAUGGGCGCAAGCCUGAUGCAGCAACGCCGCGUGAGGGAUGAAGGCCUUCGGGUUGUAAACCUCUUUUAGCAGGGAAGAAGCGAAAGUGACGGUACCUGCAGAAAAAGCACCGGCUAACUACGUG